UUACAGAGUUGUACCAAGAUUCCGUUUGCAUCAGUGGUUCUCAAAAUCAGCUGUACUUUAUAAUCACCAAGGGGCUUUUAAAACUCCCCAGAUCAAUUAACUCAGAAUCUCUGGGGGUAAGGACUCAGGCAUCCAUAUUCUUCAAAUUUCUCCAGGGAUUCCAGAGGCUGACAUGUGAAGCUGGAGGAAUAAUCAAGCCUCCAAAGAUGUUCUACUCUGUGACGGCCCUCAUUAAGGAUAUGAAACCCAUUAGGACAAGGACCCUGCCUUCAAGAAACAGUGAAGGAGAGAUAGUUGGCUUCUUGGCUUUCUUCAUGAAUCUGUUGAAGCUUCCCAGAGCACCUGAUCUGACACAACCACCAUACUCACUCCCUUCCUCGUUUUUAUCAAAGACUACGGCAAUGGGUUUUUCAUACUUGAUUCCCCUGCUAGAAUAUGUGCUUCAUGAGAAGGGGACCCUAUCCAUCUUGUUUCUUGCUGUUUCUCUAGAGCUUGGCACAGAAUAAGUUCUUAAAAGAUCCUGUUGAAAUAAUGGAUGACAAAAUGAAUGAAUCUCUAUUCUUGUACUAGCACCUCAUUGUUGAUUGAAUAUUUUAUAACUGUUAAUGGUAUUACUUCUUUAUUCUCUUACCAAAUUUUCUUGAGUGUUCUUGCAUGUUUUUCUUCCCAACAGACUUUGAUUGCUUUCCCAAAUUUUCUCCCCAAUUCCAUUUGGCUUUUGAUUGAAAAAUGCAUCCCACUUUUAAAUUUGUGAAUCCCUGGCACAUUUAUAAUAUUGACUUACCAUGUGCAAAUAUGCUACAUCUUUCCAUUUAUUAAAAAAUCUUCUGGGAUGCCUGGGUGGCUCAGCAGUUGAGCAUCUGCCUUCGGCUCAGGGUGUAAUCCUGAUCCCAGAAUCGAGUCCCACAUCGGGCUCCCUGCAUGGAGCCUGCUUCUCCCUCUGCCUGUGUCUCUGCCUCUCUCUCUGUGUGUCUCUCAUGAAUAAAUAUAUAAAAUAAAAUCUUUAAAAAGAUAAA
rnacentral:lncRNA from 12 species